GACGAACGCUGGCGGCGUGCUUAACACAUGCAAGUCGAACGGAAAGGCCCUGCUUUUGUGGGGUGCUCGAGUGGCGAACGGGUGAGUAACACGUGAGUAACCUGCCCUUGACUUUGGGAUAACUUCAGGAAACUGGGGCUAAUACCGGAUAGGAGCUACUGCUGCAUGGUGGGGGUUGGAAAGUUUCGGCGGUUGGGGAUGGUCUCGCGGCUUAUCAGCUUGUUGGUGGGGUAGUGGCUUACAAAGGCUUUGACGGGUAGCCGGCCUGAGAGGGGGACCGGCCACAUUGGGACUGAGAUACGGCCCAGACUCCUACGGGAGGCAGCAGUGGGGAAUAUUGCACAGUGGGCGGAAGCCUGAUGCAGCAACGCCGCGUGCGGGAUGACGGCCUUCGGGUUGUAAACCGCUUUCGCCUGUGACGAAGCGUGAGUGACGGUAAUGGGUAAAGAAGCACCGGCUAACUACGUG
rnacentral:rRNA from 1 species